AGGAAUGCAGAACCUGUUACUGAGCAAAUCUGUAUGUUAAAAUGUUUUCCCUAGCUAGCAAAAGAAACUUGACUUGAUGAACCAGACAAUAUAUAUAUAUAUAUAUAUUUUUUUUCCAUUUGCACAGGCUAGCCUCAAGCUCACAGUCCUCCUGUCUCAGCAUGCUUGGUGCUGAAGUGAGUAGCCUACGCCAUCAGGUUCAGCCCUGUUCUGCUUCGGCAAUCCUUUCCACCUCUUUCCUAAUCUCCUGCCGUUUUCCUUUACUCUCACUUGCACACUGAUGCUUGGUGGCUCUCACUACAGGGAGAGAUCUUCAAGGCCGAGUUCAGGAUCGAAUCAUCUUUACAGUCCCCAGAGAAGUCGUGGCGCAAUGCACUGUCUACAGUGAGAAACAAUCAAAUUGUACAACCCGAGAAGAAGAGCUGAUGGUGGCCGGGUUCCUAGAGAGAUGCGUUCAGAUGCAGUUUGUCAUGGACUCAGAAGUGCCACUAAAGGUGAGGGAAGAGUAUGACAGCCUUGUGACAGUCCCACUGAAUAAACGCUUUUAAAUCUAGUAACAAGGGAUUGGUGUAACUGUGCACUUGUCAUGGAAGACUGCCAAGACGUCCAUCUGUCAGUGCCUUCUUGUUCUAAUGUGUGUAUGUGGGUGUGGCUAUGUGUAUGUGUGUGUGUGGGCAUACAGAUGUGUACAGAGCUCAGAGGACAAUUCAAGGGUCAUCCUGAGAGCCACCGCCCAGAUCCUUUGAGAACUCUUCUCUCUUUGUCUUGGAGCUCACAUUAGGCUAGGCUGGAAGGCUCCUCCAGGGAUACUCUUGUCUCUCCCUCCUUGGUGAUCACAGGAACACAGCACAGUGCUCUGCAUGGUAUAUGGGUGCUGGGGAUCGAACUUGGGUCCCUGUGGUUUCGAGGCCAGCACUUUACUGACUGAACCACCAUCCCCUAGCCCAUGUUGCCAGUGCCUUUUUAAUAUGUUUAUACAGCUCUCUCUCUCUCUCUCUCUCUCUUUAGUGGUAGGUGAUUAAUGUGGAGAGAUGAUAAAAUCUAGACAGAGAUUUCUCACAUUGAUGACAGUAAAGGCAUUAAGAAUACAAUUAUGGGCACCAGCUCUAUAACUCAGCCUAUUGCUAUGAAAAUAUGUCUGACUGCCAGUGACCAGCAAUUAUCUUCCUCCAUUUAAUCUAAAGCCACAUGGUAUUUUAAAAAUGAAAGUCCUUUCAAAACUGCCUCUGCCUAUAAAUGUCAACGGGUGGGACAGCUUUUCCUUCUGCACCACACAGUUCGACUUAUGCUGCGGUUCACGUUCACAUGCAUUCAAUGUUAAAGGACAAGGAAAUGCUCAUCCAAGGCACCUUGUCAACCCUGGCCAGCCCUGCGGUGACCUUCGGCUCAGAACCCGGGUUUGAGCCUUCAAGGGCAGCAAGAGCCUCAGUCAGCAGCUUUCCAGGUCCCAAGCUUGUCUAAGGAGAGGCAGAUUGAAAGCUCUCAGAAACCUGCCUUCUCAGAAACCUACCAUCCUCGGGAAGUGCUAAGCCAAGGAAAACAACACACCUGAACAAAAAAGCUCAUCUGUCACUUAACACUCGGUCCUUGUUUAAUUUUUACUCAGCCUAAGGCAGGUCUUGCUGAUCUGUCUGGCCCUGAAGAAUGUCUCUGAAGUGCUGGGGUCACACGCUUGCACCACCCAACCUGGCUGGAUUCAGACUUUAAAAUAGGGUUGCACCGUAGGGGCAGUGGGGCUCCCCAUCCGGUUGUAAAAUGCUACAUGUUAAACAUCAAGAGAGCAAAUGAAUGGUUACAAAUGGUUUCUAGGACUGAAG
ensembl:processed_transcript Gm7457 predicted gene 7457